rnacentral:rRNA from 1 species
AUGAUAUAGGGGUUCUCAUUGGACACGAUGCUAGCGGUCUGAGGAAUCGGCAAUGGACUUGGACUGCCGAUUCUUACGGAGGCAGCAGCAUAGGAUCUUCGGCCAUGAGGCGAAGUUCGACGGAGACAACCUCCCGCGUGAGUGGAUGAGAGGUUCUCGAGUCUGUUAAGCUUCGUUUGUUACGGGAGGAACAGUACCGUUGAUAGGGCUGUUACAUGACGUACCUAACCAGAGAAGCCACGGCUAACUACGUGCAGCAGCCGCGGGUAAUACGUAGGUGGGCAGCCGUUGUACCGGAAUUAUUGGGCGUAAAGGGCUCGCAAGGCGGGUUCUCUUAAGUCUGAUGUGGAAAGCCCCGAGCUUCAACCUGGGGGAGAGGUUCAUUUGAAACUGGGGAAGCUUGAGUGCAGAAGAGGAGAGGUGGAAUUCCACGUUGUAGCGGUGAAAUGCGUAGAGAUGUGGAGGAACUACCAGUGGCGAAGGCGACUCCUCUGGUCUGUAACUGACGCUGAGGAGCGAAAGCGUGGGGAGCGAACAGGAUUAGAUACCCUGGUAGUCCACGCCGUAAACGAUGAGUGCUAAGUGUUAGGGGGUUUCCGCCCCUUAGUGCUGCAGCUAACGCAUUAAGCACUCCGCCUGGGGAGUACGGUCGCAAGACUGAAACUCAAAGGAAUUGACGGGGGCCCGCACAAGCGGUGGAGCAUGUGGUUUAAUUCGAAGCAACGCGAAGAACCUUACCAGGUCUUGACAUCCUCUGACAAUCCUAGAGAUAGGACGUCCCCUUCGGGAGCAGAGUGACAGGUGGUGCAUGGUUGUCGUCAGCUCGUGUCGUGAGAUGUUGGGUUAAGUCCCGCAACGAGCGCAACCCUUGAUUUUAGUUGCCAGCAUUCAGUUGGGCACUUUAAGGUGACUGCCGGUGACAAACCGGAGGAAGGUGGGGAUGACGUCAAAUCAUCAUGCCCCUUAUGACCUGGGGUACACACGUGGUACAAUGGACAGAACAAAGGGCAGCGAAACCGCGAGGUUAAGCCAAUCCCACAAAUCUGUUUUCAGUUCGGAUCGCAGUUUGCAACUUGACUGCGUGAAGCUGGAAUCGCUAGUAAUCGCGGAUCAGCAUGCCGCGGUGAAUACGUUCCCGGGCCUUGUACACACCGCCCGUCACACCACGAGAGUUUGUAACACCCGAAGUCGGUGAGGUAACCUUUAGGAGCCAGCCUCCCGCAAAGGUUGGA